ensembl:miRNA MIR1539 microRNA 1539
GGCUCUGCGGCCUGCAGGUAGCGCGAAAGUCCUGCGCGUCCCAGAUGCCC